CAUAAGAUUCUUUUCGCAGUUUUGAGAUUCUUUCACAUGUUCAAUUCAUCUUGUCGAUCCUGGACUAUGACCACAUGUUUCCUGUGGCAGGGUCAUCAACACCGACUAAUCUUCUUGCGGUGAGUCCUUCAAGACAAUCAAUUGCCAACAUAUCUGCCCCCAUUGGCGGGGUCCUCAACAUAGCCAGAUUCAACUCAACAGCCAAGGACUAUGACCACAUGUUCCCUGUGGCAGGGUCAUAUCACCGACUAUUCUUCUUGCGGUACCAAUGUAUUAGCCCCCAUUGGCAGGGUCCUCAACAUAGCUCGACUGCAAGUCUGAAUCUAUCUCAAGUCAUUAUCUUUUUUUACAUUAUGUUCAAUG